rnacentral:rRNA from 1 species
CAUAGGUUAAUGAGGCGAACCGGGGGAACUGAAACAUCUAAGUACCCCGAGGAAAAGAAAUCAACCGAGAUUCCCCCAGUAGCGGCGAGCGAACGGGGAGCAGCCCAGAGCCUGAAUCAGUGUGUGUGUUAGUGGAAGCGUCUGGAAAGGCGCGCGAUACAGGGUGACAGCCCCGUACACAAAAAUGCACAUGCUGUGAGCUCGAUGAGUAGGGCGGGACACGUGGUAUCCUGUCUGAAUAUGGGGGGACCAUCCUCCAAGGCUAAAUACUCCUGACUGACCGAUAGUGAACCAGUACCGUGAGGGAAAGGCGAAAAGAACCCCGGCGAGGGGAGUGAAAAAGAACCUGAAACCGUGUACGUACAAGCAGUGGGAGCACGCUUAGGCGUGUGACUGCGUACCUUUUGUAUAAUGGGUCAGCGACUUAUAUUCUGUAGCAAGGUUAACCGAAUAGGGGAGCCGAAGGGAAACCGAGUCUUAACUGGGCGUUAAGUUGCAGGGUAUAGACCCGAAACCCGGUGAUCUAGCCAUGGGCAGGUUGAAGGUUGGGUAACACUAACUGGAGGACCGAACCGACUAAUGUUGAAAAAUUAGCGGAUGACUUGUGGCUGGGGGUGAAAGGCCAAUCAAACCGGGAGAUAGCUGGUUCUCCCCGAAAGCUAUUUAGGUAGCGCCUCGUGAAUUCAUCUCCGGGGGUAGAGCACUGUUUCGGCAAGGGGGUCAUCCCGACUUACCAACCCGAUGCAAACUGCGAAUACCGGAGAAUGUUAUCACGGGAGACACACGGCGGGUGCUAACGUCCGUCGUGAAGAGGGAAACAACCCAGACCGCCAGCUAAGGUCCCAAAGUCAUGGUUAAGUGGGAAACGAUGUGGGAAGGCCCAGACAGCCAGGAUGUUGGCUUAGAAGCAGCCAUCAUUUAAAGAAAGCGUAAUAGCUCACUGGUCGAGUCGGCCUGCGCGGAAGAUGUAACGGGGCUAAACCAUGCACCGAAGCUGCGGCAGCGACGCUUAUGCGUUGUUGGGUAGGGGAGCGUUCUGUAAGCCUGUGAAGGUGUACUGUGAGGUAUGCUGGAGGUAUCAGAAGUGCGAAUGCUGACAUAAGUAACGAUAAAGCGGGUGAAAAGCCCGCUCGCCGGAAGACCAAGGGUUCCUGUCCAACGUUAAUCGGGGCAGGGUGAGUCGACCCCUAAGGCGAGGCCGAAAGGCGUAGUCGAUGGGAAACAGGUUAAUAUUCCUGUACUUGGUGUUACUGCGAAGGGGGGACGGAGAAGGCUAUGUUGGCCGGGCGACGGUUGUCCCGGUUUAAGCGUGUAGGCUGGUUUUCCAGGCAAAUCCGGAAAAUCAAGGCUGAGGCGUGAUGACGAGGCACUACGGUGCUGAAGCAACAAAUGCCCUGCUUCCAGGAAAAGCCUCUAAGCAUCAGGUAACAUCAAAUCGUACCCCAAACCGACACAGGUGGUCAGGUAGAGAAUACCAAGGCGCUUGAGAGAACUCGGGUGAAGGAACUAGGCAAAAUGGUGCCGUAACUUCGGGAGAAGGCACGCUGAUAUGUAGGUGAAGUCCCUCGCGGAUGGAGCUGAAAUCAGUCGAAGAUACCAGCUGGCUGCAACUGUUUAUUAAAAACACAGCACUGUGCAAACACGAAAGUGGACGUAUACGGUGUGACGCCUGCCCGGUGC